rnacentral:rRNA from 1 species
GACGACGCUGGCGGCGUGCUUAACACAUGCAAGUCGAACGGACUGUUAGUGAAAGCUUGCUGGAUCUAACAGUUAGUGGCGGACGGGUGAGUAACACGUGAGAACCUAUCCCGACCCGGGGGACAACAGGUGGAAACGCCUGCUAAUACCCCAUAGGCGCAGAGAUGCGUGAAAGGAGCAAUCCGGGGAGGGAGGGGCUCGCGGCCUAUCAGCUAGUAGGUGGGGUAACGGCCCACCUAGGCGAUGACGGGUAGCCGGCCUGAGAGGGCGCACGGCCACACUGGAACUGAGACACGGUCCAGACUCCUACGGGAGGCAGCAGUGGGGAAUCUUGGGCAAUGGGGGGAACCCUGACCCAGCGACGCCGCGUGAGGGACGAAAUCCCUUGGGAUGUAAACCUCUGUUGUGCGGGACGAAGGACGUGACGGUACCGCACGAGGAAGCCCCGGCAAACUACGUG